AGCGAACGCUGGCGGCAGGCCUAACACGUGCAAGUCGAGCGCCCAGCAAUGGGAGCGGCAGACGGGAUAGUAACACGUGGGAACGUACCCUUCAGUUCGGAACAACCCAGGGAAACUUGGGCUAAUACCGAAUACGUCCGUAAGGAGAAAGAUUUAUCGCUGAAGGAUCGGCCCGCGUCUGAUUAGCUAGUUGGUGAGGUAACGGCUCACCAAGGCGACGAUCAGUAGCUGGUCNGAGAGGAUGAUCAGCAUCACUGGGACUGAGACACGGCCCAGACUCCUACGGGAGGCAGCAGUGGGGAAUAUUGGACAAUGGGCGCAAGCCUGAUCCAGCCAUGCCGCGUGGAUGACGAAGGCCCUAGGGUUGUAAAGUCCUUUCGAUCGAGACGAAUGGUCUCCGGGUGAACAGCCUGGGGACGUGACGGUACCGAGAGAAGAAGCCCCGGCUAACUCCGUGCCAGCAGCCGCGGUAAC
rnacentral:rRNA from 1 species